rnacentral:rRNA from 1 species
AAAGGGUGCGUAGGCGGUCUCGUAAGUCAGUGGUGAAAUCCGGCAGCUCAACUGUCGAUGUGCCAUUGAUACUGCGUGACUUGAGUACAGACGAGGUAGGCGGAAUUGACGGUGUAGCGGUGAAAUGCUUAGAUAUCGUCAAGAACACCGAUAGCGAAGGCAGCUUACUAGACUGUAACUGACGCUGAUGCACGAAAGUGUGGGGAUCAAACAGGAUUAGAUACCCCAGU